GACUACUGGCAGGAUCAACCAGGUAGCAUUCACAUUUAGACCUCAAUGCAUCCCAAGACGAGCGCGGAACGGAAGGGCUCCACGAGCUCCGAGGUAAGCACGAGGGUCGCCCGAGCGGAAGCAAAGCGCUUCGACACAUAGAGAUCGCACGGCCUACGAAGGACCGAUCGAUUACAAGAGAUAUCACCAUACCCGAGAGCACGCAGACGGCAUCGACGAACCGACGCGGACGGGAACGCCCAGGAGACGGACGGCCGACCGGUAAGAGAGCGCCGACACCCGCACGAUGCCUCCCAACGCAGAGGAUGCGGGGGAGAGGCGGGGGAACAAAUACAGGGACAACUUCAAGCCCGUGGACCGCAACCGGGUAUCUAACGCAGGAACCCAACCAUCGCCAGCAUCCGUAGCACGGGGAGGGCGAUCAAAUGAAACGGACAUGGCCACAGCAGUUCGGUGCACGAAGCACGGAGCCAGCCGCGGGCACAUAUCCCGUUUGCCACUCAUGCGUCGUCCCAACGCUGCCCGAGAGAACGCCCGACGACACAGCGCCCCCGCACGGGGGAGGGGGCGCAGGACGAACGCGACGAAGCACGAGCAAGCCUGCUAGA
rnacentral:misc_RNA from 1 species